rnacentral:rRNA from 1 species
AUUGAACGCUGGCGGCAUGCUUUACACAUGCAAGUCGGACGAGUGGCGAACGGGUGAGUAACGCAUCGGAACGUACCGAGGAAUUGGGGAUAACUGUCCGAAAGGACAGCUAAUACAGCAUAUUAUUCGAGCGGCCGAUGGCGUAUUAGCUGGUGGGCGGGGUAAAGGCCCACCAAGGCGACGAUCAGUAGCGGGUCUGCGAGGAUGACCGUCCACACUGGGACUGAGCCACGGCCCAGAAGCAUACGGAGGGCAGCAUUGGGGAAUUUUGGACAAUGGGCGCAAGCCUGAUCCAGCCAUGCCGCGUAUCUGAAGAAGGCCUUCGGGUUGUAAAGGACUUUUGUCAGGGAAGCGGUACCUGAAGAAUAAGCACCGGCUGACUACGUGCCAGCCGCCGCGGUAAUAC